rnacentral:rRNA from 1 species
GACGAACGCUGGCGGCGUGCUUAACACAUGCAAGUCGAGCGGUAAGGCCCUUUCGGGGUACGACGAGCGGCGAACGGGUGAGUAACACGUGGGUGACCUCGCCCUCCAGCUCUGGGAUAAGCCUGGGAAACCGGGUCGUAACACUGGAUAUGACUCCAUGACGCAUGUUGUGGGGUGGAAAGCCUUGUGCGGCUGAGGAUGGGCCCGCGGCCUAUCAGCUUGUUGGUGGGGUGAUGGCCUACCAAGGCGACGACGGGUAGCCGGCCUGAGAGGGCGACCGGCC